rnacentral:sRNA from 1 species
AAGGUAUUGCCCGUGGAGAAGUUUGAAGGAGCAUUGCAUAUGCUCCGAGUUACUGAGAACUGAGAGGUGAAUCUCAGGUACCGGAGGGGAGAUCCAAGAACUAGAACAAGUUGAGACAAGGAAGACAAUCAGAGUCAAGGUGGAGAAUUGUAAGAAGUGACUCAGAUUUUAGUCUUCGGGUCUAAGUGUGGGAGAAACUCGGUGAAAGAGAGGGUUCGAAGUCUGUUGUGAUUCGAGCUGACUAAAGUCAUAACACGUGAGGCGAGCUGACUAAAGUCAUAACACGUGAGGCGAGCUGACUAAAGUCAUAACACGUGAGGCGAGCUGACUAAAGUCAUAACAAGCUUGAGGGCGUUUUGGUCUUUUCGCAUGAGCUCUGUAACUAUAUCUUCUUCUUCUUCUCUGUAAUUCUGUUAGAUCGGGAUAAGAAUUUGUUGAGGUCAAAAAGAGAGAGGAGUGUAGUGAGAAAAAGCUUGAAAGCAUUGUAACAGAGACUAAGUUUUCAAGUUCUAGUGAAUUUCCGGAGAGGUUUCUCCGGCGAGACGUAGCGUUCCGGUUUGGAACGUGAACUCGUUAAAUUCUCUGUAUUCAGCUUUUCUUUUACUUUCUUUCAGUUCUGGUCAAUUCGAUUCUUAGUGCUGAAGUUGAUUCGUGUGUUUGUGAGAUUGAAGUGAAGUUAGAUAUUUACAGUUAUGAACUUCUAAGGCAACUCUAUUAUCAAAAAUUUAACAGCAUAUCUUAAACGGCCUAGUAUACAAAACUUAGCUAAUUUAUUGACAAAUCAACCAAAAUGAAAAUUA